GUACACUCCUGCGGGAGGCAGCAGUGAGGAAUAUUGGACAAUGGGUGGAAGCCUGAUCCAGCCAUCCCGCGUGCAGGAAGACGGCCCUAUGGGUUGUAAACUGCUUUUAUCUGGGGAUAAACCUACUUACGUGUAAGUAGCUGAAGGUACCAGAAGAAUAAGCACCGGCUAACUCCGUGCCAGCAGCCGCGGUAAUACGGAGGGUGCAAGCGUUAUCCGGAUUUAUUGGGUUUAAAGGGUCCGUAGGCGGACUGAUAAGUCAGUGGUGAAAUCCGACAGCUUAACUGUCGAACUGCCAUUGAUACUGUUAGUCUUGAGUAAGGUUGAAGUGGCUGGAAUAAGUAGUGGAGCGGUGAAAUGCAUAGAUAUUACUUAGAACACCAAUUGCGAAGGCAGGUCACUAAGUCUUAACUGACGCUGAUGGACGAAAGCGUGGGGAGCGAACAGGAUUAGAAACCCGUGUAGUCCC
rnacentral:rRNA from 1 species